AAAAAGUUGUGCAGCAAAUACCGAAACCCCCACCCUCUGAAGACCAUCUUCCUCAACACACCCCUUCCCCGUCGGUUCUGCUCCGUUCUUCAACAAAACGACCCUUUUCCUUUUGAUCCCUGAAUUUUCGCCUUCAAACCACCCAACGACCAGAUUAAAAACCAAAAGCCCUUAAGAUCUUCUUCAUCAACAACCAAACAAAAAUCCCUCACCCCAAACACGCUAUUCACCCCUGAAACCAGCAGCACAAAAAUGCACAUACACACUCACAAACAAAGAGGAAGGAAGCCGUUAUUCUUAAAAUUUUCUUUGGUUUUAGCUUCUGUCUCGCCGGCGAUAGAUCCGACAUUCCCGUCAGCUUGUGUUUUCCGGCGAUUUUCAGUCCAAAACAACACCUGAACACAAAAAUUCCGGUCAGAGCUUGAGUCUUAUUGAGGUUUCCAUUCGAGAUUCGGUGGCGGUUUGGCUUUUGCUCCGGUUUUUCUUUUCAAUUUUUAGUUGCGCAUCAGGUAUGAAUCUAGAUUCGAAAUGUUGUAAUUGUUGAUCCGUUCCUCGGUGUCAUAAUGAUGUUGCCACCAUUUUCCGAUGCUUCCUUGGAUUGUUGAAACAUAUAUUCAUGAUUUGCUCAUUGAUGACGUCAAUUUGUGCUAAUUGUUUACUGCCUCUGUUUUGUUAAAGUGAGCUGCUUCAUGUUCAGCCAUAUGUGAAUGCGGUUUUCCUUAACUAUGGAGUUUACUAUUGUUGUUCAUUUUCUACGCACUGCUUCUGUUCCGAUUUUGGCACCAUCCUUAUUGGCAAAAUUAUGUACUAAUCUUGUUCUUGACCAUUGAAGUGCUUAGCUUAUUUGUUGUACUUUUGUUCGUUUUAGAUCUCCAUCGUAUAUAGAUACGUUGGUAAUGUUCCUCUGAGUUGGGAAGUUAAAUGGUAUAAUAUUAAAGAAGUUCAUCACUUGUAGAAUACUUUUCAUCAGAUCACUUUCACAUUUGUGUAUGAAUGUAGAUCAGGUAUAUGUUUAUGUAAUUCUGUAUCCAAACGAGCCUUCCAAUGAAUAUGUAACUUAAAAAAUAAUUUUGAACAUGUUAGAAUUCAUGGGCGCAUUUAAUUCAUUAUCGUAAUUGUGUACACGCUCGCAUGACACGAGUGCAUUUUUUUUAAAAAAAUAAUAAAUAUUCGUAGAAAAGACUUUAGGUGCAUUAAUUGAAUGAUUGUCAUGGCUACGGGUACAGUUCCCGUGAGUAGUUGUGAUGCUUAAUUUCUAAAUUUGGGAGUGCAUUUCAUAUGACCCGGUUUAAUUUUCCAACAAUGUUAAAUAAAAUGUGUCUCGGACUGCGGGUGUAUUUCAUGUGCGUGGUCCAAAGACGUAUUUCAGAUGACGUUAAAAUAUUCCUUAAAUUAAUUAAAAGCGGUUUUAAAAUUAAAAUGCACAUAGGUUUAAAAGUGUAUUAGAAUCAGAUAACAGGCCAAUUAUAACAGUUGAGCGACCGUGCUAGAACCACGGAAUUCGGAAAUGCCUAACACCUUCUCCCGGGUUAACAAAAUUCCUUACUCGGAUUUCUGGUUUGCGGACUGUUAAACAAAGUCAAGCUUUUCCUCGAUUCGGGAUUCAAUCGGUGACUUGGGACACCAUAAAUCUCCCAAGUGGCGACUCUGAAUCUUUUAAUAAAUAAAUCUCAUUUCGAUUGUCCUUUAAUUGGAAAAACUCCCUUAUAUACCCCUUUCGGGGGGUGUAGGUAAAAAGGAGGUGUGAAAUCCAUUGCCGAGGAUUGAUAACUUAUUUGAUCAGUUUCAAGGUGCUAAGGUGUUUUCAAAGAUUGAUUUGAGGUCUGGCUACCAUCAAUUGAGGAAUAGGGCAUCUGAUGUCCCUAAGAUAGCUUUUCGGACUCGUAUGGGCAUUAUGAGUUUCUAGUGAUGUCAUUUGUGUUGACAAAUGCCCCAACAACAUUUAUGGAUUUGAGGAACCGAGUGUUCAGGCCCUAUUUGGAUUUCUUCGUAAUUGUUUUUAUUGAUGAUAUCUUUAUCUACUCCUGCAAUCGUGAGGAGCACGAGCAGCAUAUUUGGAUCGUUCUUCAAACUUUGAGAGACAGCAAAUUAUAUGCUAAGUUUUUGAAAUAUGAGUUUUGGUUAAGUUCGGUUGCAUUCUUGGGUCACGUUGUAUCAGCAGAGGGUAUUCAAGUGGAUCUUAAGAAGAUUGAGGCAGUCAAGGACUAGCCUAGACCCACAUCACCUACAGAGAUCCGGAGUUUCUUGGGCUUGGCAGGUUAUUACCGUCGAUUUGUGGAGGGGUUUUAAUCCAUAGCAGCCCCGAUAACCAGAUUGACCCAAAAGGGUGACCAUUUUAUGUGGUCAGAAAAGUGUGAGGCGAGCUUUCAGAAGCUCAAGACAACUUUGACUACGGCACCGGUGUUGGUAUUGCCCACAGGUUCAGGGCCAUAUACAGUAUAUUGUGAUGCAUCUCAUCUUGGAUUUGGUGCGCUGUGGAUGCAGAAUGGCAAGGUUAUUGCAUAUGCUUCGCAGCAGUUGAAGAUUCACGAGAAGAAUUAUCUAGUUCAUGACUUAGAGCUGGUAGCCAUUGUUUACGCGCUGAAGAUUUGGAGGCAUUAUCUAUAUGGAGUGUCGUGUGAGGUGUUCACGGAUCAUAAAAGUCUACAGUACUUGUUCAAGCAAAAGGAGCUCAAUUUGAGGCAAAGAAUGUGGUUGAAGCUAUGAAAGAAUAUGAAAUCACCAUCUUGUAUCAUCCCGGGAAGGCCAAUGUGGUGGCCAAUGCUUUGAGCAGGAAGUCAGCUAGUAUGGGCAACCUUGUGUAUAUUCCAGUCGGUGAGAGACCGCUUGCAUUAGAUGUUCAGGCUUUGGCCAACCAGUUUGUGAGGUUGGAUGUUUUUGAGCCCAGCCGUGUUCUAGCUUGUACAGUCGCUCGGUCUUCCUUGUUUGAGCAUAUCAGAGAGUAGAAAUAUGAUGAUCCCUAUUUGCUCGUCCUUAGGGACACAGUGUGGCACGAAGAUGCCAAGCAGGUUACAGUUGGAGAUGAUGGAGUUUUGAGGAUGCAUGGUCGAGUUUGUGUGCCUAAUGUGGAUGCACUUCGUGAGUUGAUUCUAGAAAAGGCCCAUAGUUCCCGGUAUUCUAUUCACUCGGACGCCGCUAAAAUGUAUCAGGACUUGCGGCAACAUUAUUGGUGAAGGAAGAUGAAGAAGGAUAUUGUUGCGUAUGUAGCUCGGUGUUUGAAUUGUCAGCAGGUAAAGUACGAGCAUCAGAUACCUGGUGAUUUGCUUCAGAAGAUUGAGAUUCCUGAAUGGAAGUGGGAGCGUAUCACCAUGGACUUCAUUAUUGGACUCCCAUGGACUCAGAGGAAGUUCGACGCAGUUUGGGUUAUUGCGGAUAGGCUGACUAAAUCGGUGUAUUUUAUUCCUGUGGCAGUCUCUUAUUUUUUAGAGCGGUUGGCAGAGAUUUACAUUUGUGAGAUCGUUCGCCUUCAUGGUGUGCUCGUGUCUAUCAUUUCUGACCGAGGUACGCAAUUUACCUCGCAUUUCUGGAGGGCAGUACAUCGUGAGUUGGGUAAGCGGGUUGAGUUGAGCUCAUCAUUUCAUCCCAAGACGGACGGGAAGUCCGAGCGUACUAUUUAGAUUUUGGAGGAUAUGCUCCGCUCCUGUGUUAUUGACUUUGAAGGUUCUUGGGAUUAGUUCUUUCUGUUAGCAGAGUUUGCAUACAACAACAACUAUCAGUCGAGCAUCCAGAUGGCUCCCUAUGAGUUGUUGUAUAGUAGACUGUGUCGAUCACCGAUUGUAUGGUUUGAGCCGGGAGAGGCUCGAUUAUUAGGUACAGAUUUAGUGCAGGAUGCCUUGGAUAAAGUUAAGAUCAUUCAAGAGAGAUUUUGUAUAGCUCAGUCCAGGAAAAAGAGUUAUGCCGACCAUAAGGUUCGUGAUGUGGCAUUCAUGGUCGGGGAGAUAGUGUUGCUUUGGGUGUCACCCAUGAAGGGUGUGAUGCAGUUUGGGAAGAAGGCAAGUUAAGCCCUAGGUUCAUCGGGCCUUUUGAGAUUCUUGAUCGAGUGGGAGAGGUGGCUUAUAGACUUACGUUGCCACUAGGCUUAUCAGCGGUACGUCCAGUGUUUCAUGUGUCCAUACUUCGGAAGUAUCACGACGAUCCAUCCCACUUGUUAGACUUCAGCACUGUCCAGUUGGAAAAGAAUUUGACCUAUGAGAAGGAGUCGGUAGCUAUUCUAGACCGGCAGGUUCGUCAAUUGAGAUCGAAGAGCUAUCCUUCAGUUCAUGUGCAGUGGAGAGGUCAGCCUGUUGAGGCAGCUACUUGGGAGUCCGAGUCCGAUAUGCGGAGAAGAUAUCCCCAUCUUUUCUCUAGCUCAGGUACUUUUCUAUGUCCAUUCGAGGACGAACGGUUGUUUUAGAGGUGGAGAAUGUGAUGACCCAAAAGGUCAUCUCGUGUUUUAAAACCCAAGUCGGAAUUUUGAUCCCUGAAAAAUCCCAUUUUCUUUUGCCUUGAUUUACGUGCGCAGUCCUGGCGCAUUUUCGGAAAAACCUUUAUGCGAAAGUUUGAGAAAAUACUAAGUUUUGCCUUUAAAAUUGAUUUAAGUUAACUUCGGUCAACAUUUUGAUUAAACGGACCCGGACCCGAACCCGUGUCUUGAUGGUCCCGGAGGGUCCUUAGUAAAAUAUGAGACUUAGGUGUAUGCCCGAAAUUGAAUUCCGAGGUCCCUAGCCCGAGAAAUAAAUUUUUGAAGAAAAUUGUUAAACUGAAAAUAUAAUGAUUUUUAGAAAUUGAAUAAUGUUUGGUCUUGUUGGUAUUGGGACCAUAUUUUGGUUUCGGAGCCCGGUACAAGUUUAUUAUGGUAUUUAAGUCAUGCAUGUGAAAUUUGGUGAGAAACGGAGUUUAUAUGACGUGAUUCGGACCCUCGGCUGUGAAAAUAGAAACUUUAAGUGUUCUUGAGAAUUUCAUCGAUUUUGAUGCAAAAUCCGUAGUUUUGGGUGUUAUUUUAGUGAUUUGAUCACCCGAACAAGUUCAUAUGAUGUGUUAAGAUGUGUAUGCAUGUUUGGUUUCGAGCCCCGAGGGCUCGGGUGAGGAAGAGCAAGUUCAUAUAAUGUGUUAAAACUUUUAUUUCUUUUUACAAGAUUUCAUCUUAGAAUCUAGGGUUUUCAUGGUGAAAUGGGGAAUUUUUGGGUAGAACUUAGGAAUUUCGAAAUUUAGGAAUUUAGACCUCAAACUGAGGUCAGAUUCCAAAACCAAUUGUAUAUCCGGGCUCGGGGUGAAUGGGUAGUCGGGUUUUGGUCCGAAUUUCGGGUUUGGACCAAGCGGGCGCGGGUGUUGACUUUUUUAAAAAUUACCUAAAUUGAAUUCCUUGCUAUCGUGGGUAGUUCCUAAUGCUUAAAUUGAAUUGUUUGGUUGGUAAUUUGCUAGAUUCUAUUGGUUCGGAGGCUUAUAUUAAAGGAAACGUUAUGAUUGAGCUUUGAGAUCGGUCGUGAAAUCGAGGUAAGUUUUGUGGUUAACCUUAGAUUGAGGGAGUAGGUAUUGUUGCCUUAUUUGCUACAUGUUUAAUUGUUUAGUACGACCUAUUAGUGAGGUGACGAGUAUCUAUACGUCGUUGUCGGGUCAUAGCAUGUGAGUGAGUCUUGUAUUUAUGAUUGAUGUGUUUCUUUAUACGUAGUUUUCAUGCUUAAACGGAUUAUUCUUCAUGUUAAACAAGUCUUAUUAUGUUUUCCUGGUAUUGAAUAUUUGUUGAGUAUUGACUCAAGUUGAGAUUUAUAUUGUGAAGUUAAAUGGUGAAAUGAGGCUAUUUAAUGAUGAUUCCCUUGUUGAGUUGCUAUUGUUUCUGCUGUUUGGGUGAGGAAGAGUGUAACGCACAAAGGGUGAUGCCGUGCAAUAUUUUGUGAGUGAGUGAUAAAGCACGAAGGGUGAUGCCGUUCUAUAUUCUGUGAGUGUUAAUGCACGAAGGGUGAUGUCGUGCCAUAUUCUGAUAUUGAUAAUGCACGAAGGGUGAUGUCGUGCUAUGAUAUGAGAGAGUUAAUGCACGAAGGGUGAUGCCGUACCGUUUCUGUUGUUUUUUAUGGUAAGGACGAGAGCAAAAUCACGAAGAGUGAUGUUGUGCUCAUGUUGCUAUGUUAUUAUUUUCGUUGGUUCAAAGCAUGAUAUUUAUCGUGUUUCUGUAUUGUACUAUUUUCAGAAUUUGACAUUCCCCUCAACAUGUUUUCCCCCUUCCCGUUAUUAUCUGUUAGAUUUCUGUUAUUAUUGUUUUCUCGUAUAUAAUUUAACUACACAGGUUCAUGUUAUUUGUCGUGUUCUAGCCUUGUCACUACUUCGCCGAGGUUAGGCUCGGCACUUACCAGUACAUGGGAUCGGUUGUACUGAUACUACACUCUGCACUUUCUGUGCAGAUCUCGAUGCCAGACCUCGUGAUUAGAGUUGGGUUGCUGUCUUCAGUCCACCAGGAGACCCAAGGUAGAUCUGUUGGCAUUACAGACCCUGGAGUCCCCUUCCCUCUAUUUUAGUUUUCCUGUCUCCUUUCAUUUUGAGCACAAAUGUAUUUCUUUUAAACCAGUAUGUGUAGUAACUCUUAGAAGUUCGUGGAUUGUGACACCAGAUCUUUUAGGUAGUCGUGUAUUAAUGUUUUAAAUUGCUAUAAAAUUUC
rnacentral:lncRNA from 1 species